UAUUAAAUUUAUGGGCGAACGACGGGAAUUGAACCCGCGCAUGGUGGAUUCACAAUCCACUGCCUUGAUCCACUU
rnacentral:tRNA from 1 species